rnacentral:rRNA from 1 species
GACGUAGGGGGCCAGCGUUGUUCGGAAUUACUGGGCGUAAAGGGUUCGUAGGCGGUGUGGCAAGUCGGGAGUGAAAUCUCUGGGCUCAACCCAGAGGCUGCUUCCGAAACUGCUGUGCUUGAGUGUGGGAGAGGCGCGUGGAAUUGCAGGUGUAGCGGUGAAAUGCGUAGAGAUCGGGAGGAACACCAGUGGCGAAGGCGGCUCGCUGGGCCGGACCUGACGCUGAGACGCGAAGGCGUGGGGAGCGAACGGG